rnacentral:rRNA from 1 species
UAAGGAAUAUUGGUCAAUGGACGCAAGUCUGAACCAGCCAUGCCGCGUGAAGGAUGAAGGUCCUCUGGAUUGUAAACUUCUUUUAUCUGGGACGAAAACGGGAUUUUUAUCUCAAUUGACGGUACCAGAGGAAUAAGCACCGGCUAACUCCGUGCCAGCAGCCGCGGUAAUACGGAGGGUGCGAGCGUUAUCCGGAUUUACUGGGUUUAAAGGGUGCGUAGGUGGGCUUAUAAGUCAGUGGUGAAAUCUCCGAGCUUAACUUGGAAACUGCCGUUGAUACUAUAGGUCUUGAAUUAUCUGGAGGUGAGCGGAAUAUGUCAUGUAGCGGUGAAAUGCUUAGAUAUGACAUAGAACACCAAUUGCGAAGGCAGCUUACUACAUAUAAAUUGACGCUGAGGCACGAAAGCCAGGGGAGCAAACG